UACGUAGGUGGCAAGCGUUAUCCGGAAUUACUGGGCGUAAAGGGCGCGCAGGCGGCUCUGAAAGUCAGAUGUGAAAGCCCCGGGCUUAACCUGGGAAUUGCAUUUGAUACUCUGGAGCUUGAGUACGGGAGAGGAGAGUGGAAUUCCCAGUGUAGAGGUGAAAUUCGUAGAUAUUGGGAAGAACACCGGUGGCGAAGGCGGCUCUCUGGACCGUAACUGACCGCUGAGGCGGCGAAAGCGUGGGGAGCAAACAGGG
rnacentral:rRNA from 1 species